GCCUACAGCCAUUCCACCCUGAACAUGCCCGAUCUCAUCUGUUCUCAAGAAGCUAAGCAGGGUUGGGCCUGGUUAGUACUUGGAUGGAAGAAAAUUGAUAUGGAUAGAGCUGACAAGAUGGUUUAGUAGGUGAAGGCC
ensembl:rRNA 5S_rRNA 5S ribosomal RNA